rnacentral:rRNA from 1 species
GUAGGUGAACCUGCGGAUGGAUCAUUACCAUGAAAUGAUAGACUGCCGGCAGAUCCCGCCCUGGCCAGUCUCUAAACUAAUCUUGAACGCACCACGCACGCCCCAGUCGACGCGUGCCUAAUAAAACGUCGACCCAGCAGCACCCGGGUCUACGGGCUGCCCCGGCGGCGGAUUGGCCACCGCUGCCGGACUGCGGCCACCACUUCGGGCUGCUGCUGGAAAAAGUCGGGAGCCGUCCGCCAGAGGUGAUUCCCACCCAGGACAGUGGCUCUCGCAGCGCCGUGGGGUGCCGGCGGUCGAGGACCCUCGAAUCGCUCCCUUUGGCCGGGGAGCGAGGAACGGUCCCGGACCUAGUUCGCUUGCCGAUGCUGCUCGCGAACGACGCCGGCCGCAAGGCGAUCUUCCCCCUGCCGGGAAAAGCGCCCCUCUUUCCCGUCUCUUCGGAGACGGGAUUGCGCCCUCCUCAAAGCGUACACCAACGUUUUUGCGGGCGUCGCGGAGGAAAGCAACGGGGGCAGAGAGAGGAGACUCUUCCUUCCCCUAGUAGUUAGUACUCCGCGCUUGAACGCGUGACUCUGUAUCCGGGCUCUCUCGGGAGACAGAGCGCAGGACUUCCGCCCGUGUUGCGCGGGCGGUCGACACCUGUUCAGAAAUCUGAGACAACUCUAUGCGGUGGAUCACUCGGCUCGUGCGUCGAUGAAGAGCGCAGCCAGCUGCGUGAAUUAAUGUGAAUUGCAGGACACACUGAACAUCGACACCUUGAACGCACAUUGGCGGCUCUGGCUCACUGCCAGAGCCACGCCUGUCCGAGGGUCGGCGAACAAGUCAUCGGCUCUCACUGUUCACUACGGUGAGGGGCGAGUUGGCGCGUCGCGCGGGCUUACGUCCCGCUCGUCCGCCGUAGAUUCCAGCCUCUCUCUGCCGGUCGAACCAGUCGCUGGAAGUGGCGCGGAGACAGGGCUCGAACGGGCCCGCACGUCCCGCUCCGCGUCCUCCUUCACCGGAGGGCGGCCUUCCGUGCGGCGUCGUCGCCGGCAAAAGCGAGAGAGAGCGGCCAAGGACGGGUCUAGCCAGCCCGGCCCCCAGCCGAAACCGGAGACGCGGGGAGACGGGCCGACUGACGACGACGACUCCAGCGAUGGGGUCCGAGUCCGAUGACGCCGCCUCAACCCCCGCACCACCUCCAAAAAAUUCAUCCGACCUCGGAUCAGACGGGACUACCCGCWGAAUUUAAGCAKAUCAGUAAGCGGAGGAAAAGAAACUAACCAGGAUUCCCUCAGUAACGGCGAGUGAAGCGG